AUUGAACGCUGGCGGCAGGCCUAACACAUGCAAGUCGAACGAGUGGCGGACGGGUGAGUAAUGCUUGGGAAUCUAGCUUAUGGAGGGGGAUAACUACUGGAAACGGUAGCUAAUACCGCAUACUAUCGGAUGAACCCAUAUGGGAUUAGCUAGAAGGUGGGGUAAAGGCUCACCUAGGCGAUGAUCUCUAGCUGGUCUGAGAGGAUGACCAGCCACACUGGAACUGCGACACGGUCCAGACUCCUACGGGAUGCAGCAGUGGGGAAUAUUGCACAAUGGGCGCAAGCCUGAUGCAGCCAUGCCGCGUGAAUGAAGAAGGCCUUCGGGUUGUAAAGUUCUUUCGGUAGCGAGGCGUUAACUACAGAAGAAGCACCGGCUAACUCCGUGCCAGCAGCCGCGGUAAUUC
rnacentral:rRNA from 1 species